GGUGAUAUAUGUAUUAUAGCAACGCAAGCACCACCAGCACAGCCCACGUCAACUAGUACUAGUGCAGCAGCACCAACUACUACUACUGCAGAAACGACAACUACUACUACUGCAGCAACGUCAGCUAGUACUACUGCUAAACCAAAAACAGCAUCAACUGUUACUGCUUUAGCAACGUCAACUAGUCAUACUGCUACUCCAAAGGCUGUAAUAAUAUCAAAGGUGGUCCUUCCAGUGAAUCGCUCCAUAUACAGCAUAAAGUGUCAAACAGUUAAAACUUUCAUACCAAGGUGGUCUUCCAGAAGAAAUUCAGUUGACGCAUAUAGAUUUGAUCAAUACAUAAUACCAGUUGCAGUGAUUGUGAUGUUAUUGAUUGUUUACAAACCUGUUAAGCCAAAUGGCAGAAAGUAAUAGAAGGGAGAAGAUCGAGAAGAAAAUUAUGAUUUUAAAUAAACAACAUAAAUACAUUUAUUUACCGAUUUUACUUUCCUUACCGACCUGAACUGUGGACUUUUGAACAACAAAUCACCCAUGUACUUUUUGUUAAUUCAAAUAGAUAUACACUUUGAAUAUGACCCGUCUUCAUUAGCCCAGCAUAGGAGCAGAACAGUAGGACGUUAAACCCCAUUUCAUUUCAUUUCAUUUUGAAUAUGAGAUCAACGUCAAAAAACAUUUAGGCAAAUCAACACUUUUAUUUCUUUAUCCAAAUCCAACAAGUUAAUUUAAAUUAUAAACAUAUUCUAAAUUUCAAAAUCCACAGAACACAAUAUUGCUGCGAAACAAUAUCCCCUUAAGCACAAUAAUUGAAAAGCAACUUAAAGAUUUUGUUUCUUUUAUUGAUGAUUACAUGUACACUAUAUCAUAGGUGAGCCCCAUAUUGAUGGGGAUGGGGGAGGGUUCCAUCUGGUUCAUUCGCGAUUGCAGACAAGACCCAUUUUGAAUUUGAAUGAUUUUGUAAA